rnacentral:rRNA from 1 species
UAUGAGCGGUCUUGCGUAUUUAUCGUCGGCGGCAAGAUACCGUAUGUCAUAGCCAUACUCGGAAAAGGUGUUCAUCUCGGCAAGCUGAGCUAUCUCGUCAUACAUAGGAUCCUCUGUACUAAAUCUCACUAUUUCGCCAUGCUCGUUGUCAUAGCGGGCAAGCAACGCGAUUAUACUCUCCCUUGAAAGCGUAGCCGAACCGCAUGGGAAGGCGGGCCGGAGCGGGUGAGAGCCCCUUAGAUGGUUUAAUUAUAGUCAGUCUGUUCGAGAGUAGCCCAGGGCACGAGAAAUCCGGGGCGAAGACGGGGGGACCACCCUCCAAGGCUAAAUACGAACCGAUGACCGAUAGCGAACAGUACCGUGAGGGAAAGGCGAAAAGCACCCAGAGAUGGGAGUGAAACAGACCUGAAACCGCGUGCGUACAUUCUGUCGAAGGAUGCGUUCACGCAUCUGACGGCGUGCCUUUUGUUUAAUGAGCCAGCGAGUUGCUCGUCCGUGGCGAGGCUAAGGAGCAGGAACUCCGGAGCCGCAGCGAAAGCGAGUCUGAAACGGGCGUUUCAGUCGCGGGCGGCAGACACGAAGCCUUAGUGAUCUAUCCGUGUCCAGGCCGAAACGGGAGUAACAUCCCGCGGAGGGCCGAACCGAUAUGCAUUGAAACGCGUUCGGAUGAGGUGCGGAUAGGGGUGAAAGGCCAACCAAACUGGGCGAUAGCUUGUUCUCUCCGAAAAAUAUUUAGGUAUUGCGUAUAGUGUUUCUUGACGGGGGUAGAGCACCGGAUGGACUAGGGGGCGCACCCGCCUACCAAACCCAACCGAACUCCGAAUACCGUAUAAGUUAAGCUAUGCAGGCAGCCUGCGGGCGAUAAGGUCCGUAGACGAGAGGGGAACAACCCGGACCACCGACUAAGCGUCCCUAAGAGCGUGCUGAGUGAGAAAGGAAGUGAAGAGGCAGAGACAGCCAGGAGGUUGGCUUAGAAGCAGCCAUCCUUUAAAGAAAGCGUAACAGCUCACUGGUCGAUGCCUUUUCGCGCCCAAAAUUAUCGGGGCUAAGCACGUCACCGAAGUCGUGGAUUCAUAUUUUAAUAUGAGUGGUAGGAGAGCGUCCCGUAUGCCUGGGAAGGAGACUGGCGAUGGUUUCUGGAGGUAUCGGGAAUGAGAAUGCUGGCAUGAGUAUGCGAAAACGCGGGUGGAAAGCCCGCGCACCGAAAGCCCAAGGGUUCCCGGGGAAGGUUAGUCCGCCCGGGGUUAGCCGGCUCCUAAGGCUAGGCCGAGAGGCGACGCCGAUGGGAAGGGGGCGAAUAUUCCCCCGCCUUUGCGAAAUCGUUAUUAACCGAUGCGGUGACGCGCCGGUCAGGGCAUAGCGGCUGAUGGAUGCCGCGGAGAGUGCGUAGGGAGCUAGGGCGGCAAAUCCCCCUAGCGCAUGCCUGAGACGCUUGACCCCAGGAGGGCUUCGGCUCAAAUGGGAGUUGUCCGUGCCGGUGCCAGGAAAACCCGCUCAGGGAGAGUGUGCAAAGACCGUACCCUAAACCGACACAGGUGGGCAGGGCGAGCAGCCCAAGGUGCUUGAGACAACCCUGGAGAAGGAACUCGGCAAAAUAACCCCGUAACUUCGGGAUAAGGGGAGCCUUCCGAUGUGGGCUUUAACAGAGCGAAGCAUUGGAAGGUCGCAGGGAAACGGCAGAAGCGACUGUUUACCAAAAACACAGGGCUAUGCAAACCAGCAAUGGGAAGUAUAUAGUCUGACACGUGCCCGGUGCCGGAAGGUUAACAGGAGAUGUCAGGGAUUCGUCCUGAAGCAUCGAAUCGAAGCCCCGGUAAACGGCGGCCGUAACUAUAACGGUCCUAAGGUAGCGAAAUUCCUUGUCGGGUAAGUUCCGACCUGCACGAAUCGUGUAACGACUUCUGCGCUGUCUCCUCCAGAGACUCAGCGAAAUUGCAGUGCCGGUGAAGAUGCCGGCGCCCCGCGCCUGGACGGAAAGACCCCAUGAACCUUCACUGCAUCUUGGCGUUGGCUUUAGGCGCCGCGUGCGUAGGAUAGGCGGGAGGCAUUGAUCCUCGGCUUUCGGGCUGAGGGGAGCCGUCCUUGAAAUACCGCCCCUGCGUCGCUUGAAGUCUAACCGCGCUCCUUAACCGGGAGCCGGGACACCGCCUGGUGGCCAGUUUGACUGGGGCGGUCGCCUCCCAAAAGGUAACGGAGGCAUCCAAAGGUCACCUCGGACCGGUCGGCAACCGGUCUCACGAGCGCAAAGGCAAAAGGUGGCUUGACUGCGAGACCGACGGGUCGGGCAGAUGCGAAAGCAGGGCUUAGUGAUCCCGCGGCACAGCGUGGAACGGCCGUUGCUCAAUGGAUAAAAGGUACUCUGGGGAUAACAGGCUGAUCUCCCCCAAGCGUCCAUAGCGACGGGGAGGUUUGGCACCUCGAUGUCGGCUCGUCGCAUCCUGGGGCUGGAGAAGGUCCCAAGGGUUUGGCUGUUCGCCAAUUAAAGCGGCACGCGAGCUGGGUUCAGAACGUCGUGAGACAGUUCGGUCCCUAUCCGGCGCGGGCGCAGAAGGCUUGAGGGAUGCCGUCCUUAGUACGAGAGGACCGGGACGGGGGCGCCUCCGGCGCACCAGCUGU